UAAUACGUAGGAGGCGAACGUUAUUCGGAUUUACUGGGCGUAAAGGGAGCGUAGGCGGUUGCUCAAGUCGAAUGUGAAAUCUUCUGACUCAAUCGGAAGGCGUCAUUUGAUACUGAGGGACUUGAGAGCAGCAGAGGGAAAUGGAAUCUCCAGUGUAGCGGUGAAAUGCGUAGAUAUUGGAGAGAACACCAGUGGCGAAGGCGAUUCCCAGGCUGCUUCUGACGCUGAGGUUCGAAAGCGUGGGGAGCGAAGCGGAUUAGAUACCCGCGUAGUCCACGCCUUAAACGGUGGACACUAGAUAUAGGAGGUAUCGACCCUUUCUGUGUCGAAGCUAACGCUUUAAGUGUCCCGCCUGGGGAGUACGGCCGCAAGGCUG
rnacentral:rRNA from 1 species